rnacentral:ncRNA from 1 species
UAAACUAUCGCACUGAACCCAGUACAUUUUAUUUUUUUCUAGAGAGCUGAUGGAUGGUGAAAAUCAGUAAAAAAUAAUUUGGAAGUUCCAGUUCUUUCACGUGUGCCUUUCGAAAUAAGAAAGGUCGGUAAAACAACCGUUAUUUGUUAACAAGAGCAACAUAUUUAUAUGUUGAACUCGGGUGGUACCGCGAAUGCUAGAUCAAUUCGUCCCAAGA